UACAGAGGGUGCAAGCGUUAAUCGGAAUUACUGGGCGUAAAGCGCACGUAGGCGGCUUUGUAAGUUAGAGGUGAAAGCCCGGGGCUCAACUCCGGAACUGCCUUUGAAACUAGAUUGCUAGAAUCUCGGAGAGGCGAGUGGAAUUCCGAGUGUAGAGGUGAAAUUCGUAGAUAUUCGGAAGAACACCAGUGGCGAAGGCGACUCGCUGGACAAGUAUUGACGCUGAGGUGCGAAAGCGUGGGGAGCAAACAGG
rnacentral:rRNA from 1 species